rnacentral:rRNA from 1 species
AACGAACGCUGGCGGCAUGCCUAACACAUGCAAGUCGAACGAGACCUUCGGGUCUAGUGGCGCACGGGUGCGUAACGCGUGGGAACCUGCCCUUAGGUUCGGAAUAACUCCCCGAAAGGGGUGCUAAUACCGGAUAAUGUCUUCGGACCAAAGAUUUAUCGCCUUUGGAUGGGCCCGCGUUGGAUUAGCUAGUUGGUAGGGUAAAAGCCUACCAAGGCGACGAUCCGUAGCUGGUCUGAGAGGAUGAUCAGCCACACUGGGACUGAGACACGGCCCAGACUGGGACGGGGGGCAGCAGUGGGGAAUAUUAGACAAUGGGCGAAAGCCUGAUCCAGCAAUGCCGCGGGAGUGAUGAAGGCCUUAGGGUUGUAAAGCUCUUUUACCCGGGAUGAUAAUGACAGUACCGGGAGAAUAAGCUCCGGCUAACUCCGUG